UACAGUUGCACAUCACCAUGCCCAGGCUGUCACCCUUGACCCAAACUUUCUGGAUGCUUAUAUCAAUUUAGGAAAUGUCUUGAAAGAGGCACGCAUUUUUGACAGAGCUGUGGCAGCUUAUCUUCGUGCCCUAAGUUUGAGUCCAAAUCACGCAGUGGUGCACGGCAACCUGGCUUGUGUAUACUAUGAGCAAGGCCUGAUAGAUCUGGCAAUAGACACCUACAGGCGGGCUAUCGAACUACAACCACAUUUCCCUGAUGCUUACUGCAACCUAGCCAAUGCUCUCAAAGAGAAGGGCAGUGUUGCUGAAGCAGAAGAUUGUUAUAAUACAGCUCUCCGUCUGUGUCCCACCCAUGCAGACUCUCUGAAUAACCUAGCCAAUAUCAAACGAGAACAGGGAAACAUUGAAGAGGCAGUUCGCUUGUAUCGUAAAGCAUUAGAAGUCUUCCCAGAGUUUGCUGCUGCCCAUUCAAAUUUAGCAAGUGUACUGCAGCAGCAGGGAAAACUGCAGGAAGCUCUGAUGCAUUAUAAGGAGGCUAUU
rnacentral:lncRNA from 10 species